UACCUCAUUGAUUGGAAGGGAUCCCUUCUGAUGAAUGAGGUAUAACAAACUCAUUGACUGGAAGGAAUCCCUUUGGAUCAAUGAGUUUGUUACAUCUCAUUGAACGGAUGGAAUCCCUUCUGAUUGAUGAGGUA
rnacentral:miRNA from 1 species